GUUGGGCUUCGAGCUACACUCAUCACCCUGUGACAUACCUAUAACGUUGCCUCGGCGGGAACAGACGGCCCCGUAACACGGGCCGCCCCCGCCAGAGGACCCCCUAACUCUGUUUCUAUAAUGUUUCUUCUGAGUAAACAAGCAAAUAAAUUAAAACUUUCAACAACGGAUCUCUUGGCUCUGGCAUCGAUGAAGAACGCAGCGAAAUGCGAUAAGUAAUGUGAAUUGCAGAAUUCAGUGAAUCAUCGAAUCUUUGAACGCACAUUGCGCCCGCCAGUAUUCUGGCGGGCAUGCCUGUUCGAGCGUCAUUACAACCCUCAGGCCCCCGGGCCUGGCGUUGGGGAUCGGCGGAAGCCCCCUGCGGGCACAACGCCGUCCCCCAAAUACAGUGGCGGUCCCGCCGCAGCUUCCAUUGCGUAGUAGCUAACACCUCGCAACUGGAGAGCGGCGCGGCCACGCCGUAAAACACCCAACUUCUGAAUGUUGACCUCGAAUCAGGUAGGAAUACCCGCUGAACUUAAGCAUAUCAAAAGCCGGGAGGAA
rnacentral:rRNA from 1 species